GACGAACGCUGGCGGCGUGCUUAACACAUGCGAGUCGAACGGAAAGGCCCUGCUUUUGUGGGGUGCUCGAGUGGCGAACGGGUGAGUAACACGUGAGUAACCUGCCCUUGACUUUGGGAUAACUUCAGGAAACUGGGGCUAAUACCGGAUAGGAGCUCCUGCUGCAUGGUGGGGGUUGGAAAGUUUCGGCGGUUGGGGAUGGACUCGCGGCUUAUCAGCUUGUUGGUGGGGUAGUGGCUUACCAAGGCUUUGACGGGUAGCCGGCCUGAGAGGGUGACCGGCCACAUUGGGACUGCGAUACGGCCCAGACUCCUACGGGAGGCAGCAGUGGGGAAUAUUGCACAAUGGGCGGAAGCCUGAUGCAGCAACGCCGCGUGCGGGAUGACGGCCUUCGGGUUGUAAACCGCUUUCGCCUGUGACGAAGCGUGAGUGACGGUAAUGGGUAAAGAAGCACCGGCUAACUACGUG
rnacentral:rRNA from 1 species